UCAAAUCAUCAUGCCCCUUAUGUCUUGGGCUACACACGUGCUACAAUGGACUUUAACAGAGUGAAGCAAAGCCGCAAGGCCAGAGCAAAGCACAAAAACGAGUUCUCAGUUCGGAUUGCAGUCUGCAACUCGACUGCAUGAAGCUGGAAUCGCUAGUAAUCGCGAAUCAGCAUGUCGCGGUGAAUACGUUCCCGGGUCUU
rnacentral:rRNA from 1 species